rnacentral:rRNA from 1 species
UACGGGGGGGGCAAGCGUUGUUCGGAAUUACUGGGCGUAAAGGGCUCGUAGGUGGCCAACUAAGUCGAACGUGAAAUCCCCGGGCUCAACCCGGGAACUGCGUCCGAUACUGGCAGGCUUGAAUCCGGGAGAGGGAUGUGGAAUUCCCAGUGUAGCGGUGAAAUGCGUAGAUAUUGGGAGGAACACCAGUGGCGAAGGCGGCUCACUGGACCGGUACUGACGCUGAGGCGCGAAAGCGUGGGGAGCAAACAGG